rnacentral:rRNA from 1 species
UACGUAGGGCGCAAGCGUUGUCCGGAAUUAUUGGGCGUAAAGAGCUCGUAGGCGGCUUGUCACGUCGAUUGUGAAAGCCCGAGGCUUAACCUCGGGUCUGCAGUCGAUACGGGCUAGCUAGAGUGUGGUAGGGGAGACUGGAAUUCCUGGUGUAGCGGUGAAAUGCGCAGAUAUCAGGAGGAACACCGGUGGCGAAGGCGGGUCUCUGGGCCGUAACUGACGCUGAGGAGCGAAAGCGUGGGGAGCAAACAGG